AUAACUCUAGAAAAGGAGAUUAUGAUGUAGUACAUGGGCACCAUCAUCACCAUAAACAUCAUCACAAGUCAAAGGAUGAAAAUGAAAAUCAUGAAGAGUCAAAUCCAAAGGGUAACAGUCAAAAGGAAAGAAAGCUAGACAAAGAGCCUUCAGAUGAUGAUUCCAAUGGCACAGAGACAAACAAAAACCACACGAAACAUGAAAGUCUUCUCCGGAAGGUAAGAUGUUAACAUGUACAGAUAUGUCUUUGGUUCUAUCAAGACCAUAAUGUUGUCACUAUGAGCUGUGCUCUUCGUCCUAUUAUCUUUUGCAUUCUUGCAAAUGUUGAGCUAACGGAUGCCCUAACCCCUGCAUACUUCUUUGUAUGUAUAUAAACUAUCUCUAAUGAACGAAAACAUCAUCACCAUAAACAUCAUCACAAGUCAAAGGAUGAAAAUGAAAAUCAUAAAGAGUCAAAUCCAAAGGGUAACAGUUAAAAGGAAAGAAAGCUAGACAAAGAGCCAUCAGAUGAUGAUUCCAAUGGCGCUGAGACAAAUAAAAACCACACGAAACAUGAAAGUCUUCUCCGGAAGGUAAGAUGUUAACAUGUACAGAUGUUGAACUAACUGGUGCCUUACCCCCUGCAGACUUCUUUUUUUUUUUUUUUGCAAAGCUAAUAAUACCCUAUACAUUUCUUAUUAUCUCUGUCCUGCUGAAGUGACACUUUGUAUGUAUAUAAACUAUCUCUAAUGAACGAACUCAUGAAUCCUAAUUGUAUCCUCACUAUGGUCUCCUAGAAUCUACUUUGCACCUUUAGGAUUUUAAUUUCUUGUCAAGUAGGAUUUGCCUUGAGCUACAGGUAGUUGUUACAUAAAAAAUGUUAUAAUGAAUCUUCUGAUGGAUUCAGUUAAUAGUCUUGAUGCCUAUUUAUUCUCAUUUACAGCG
rnacentral:lncRNA from 1 species